AAGUCGUAACAAGGUUUCCGUAGGUGAACCUGCGGAAGGAUCAUUAUUGAAUAAACCAAGUCAUGGUUGAUGCUGGCUCUUCGGAGUAUGUGCUCGCCUGACUACGUUUUUUAACCACCUGUGCACUUAUUGUAGACCUGGAUACCUCUCGAGGCAACUCGGUUAUGAGGAUUGCUGUACCUUGCAGCUUUCUUUCAUUUCCGGUCUAUGUUUUAUACAUACCCCCUAAUGAAUGUUUAGAAUGUUUUAUUUAUGGGGCUUUAUUGCCUUUAAAAAUCUAUACAA
rnacentral:misc_RNA from 1 species